UCUUGAAACUGGGAGACUUGAGUGCAGGAGAGGAGAGGGGAAUUCCUAGUGUAGCGGUGAAAUGCGUAGAUAUUAGGAGGAACACCAGUUGCGAAGGCGGCUCUCUGGACUGUAACUGACGCUGAGGAACGAAAGCGUGGGGAGCAAACAGGAUUAGAUACCCUGGUAGUCCACGCUGUAAACGAUGAGUACUAGGUGUCGGGGGUUACCCCC
rnacentral:rRNA from 1 species